rnacentral:rRNA from 1 species
GAUGAACGCUGGCGGCGUGCCUAAUACAUGCAAGUCGAACGAACAGAUGAGGAGCUUGCUCUUCUGAGGUUAGCGGCGGACGGGUGAGUAACACGUGGAUAACCUACCUAUGAGACUGGGAUAAGUUCGGGAAACCGGAGCUAAUACCGGAUAAUAUAUUCAACGGCAUGGUUCAAUGGUGAAAGGGGGUUUUGGGGUCUGUAAGGGCUGACUCCGCAUCGCAUUAGCUAGGUGGUAAGGGAACGGCCUAGCGAGGAGACGAUGCGUAGCCGACCUGAGGGGCUGAUCGCCCACCCUGGAACUUGGACACCGUCCAGACUCCUACGGCACGCCGCAGUCUGCAACGUUACGCAACGGUCGGAAGCCUGGCGCAGCGACCCCGCGUGUGUUAUGACGGCCUUCGGUGCGUAAUGCCCUCUUUUUGGUUAAGAACAUCUUUCUGCGCAGCUGUCGCCGGCGUGACGGUACCUAAAGAAAAAGCCCCGGCUAACUACGUG